UGACGGUGGAGGUGGCUGAUGGCGAGACCAAGAAGGUGUACGAGGCCAAGGUUUUGGAGAAGGCCUGGGAGAAUCUCAAGAAGCUGGAGGACUUCACCCACCUUCGCGAUGUUUAGUUUCAUACCUGAUAAGCACAUCGCAUUCUACGUGAUAAGAGUCCCUGUUUAGUGUUUAACCAAUGGGUAACUCUCUCGUUAAAUAAGUGAAUGUGAAAUUCUACUCCUUGUGUUUGAUUUGAUGGGUCUGUGUAAUGGAACUGGUGUUGUGUUUAUCUAUUAUUGCAAGUUGCAAAC
rnacentral:lncRNA from 1 species